UCUAAGGCAAGACAAUUGUCACUCCAGGGAUUUUAACAACUGUUCUUUUGGAGUUUCCAAGAACAAAAUCAGAAACAACCACAAGUUCUCCAGAUGAAGACCGUGCAUUAACAACAGACAGGACAAGUGUACAUGUAUUUCCAGAGAUACCAACAACUGUCUUCUCGGAGUUUCCAGACACAAAAUCAGAACCACCCACGCAUUCUCCGGAUCACAGCAAUACAGUAACAGAAGGGAAAUCCACACUGGAAGACUGUAGAUUACCGGGGUUCUUAUACAGAGGGACAAAACGAGUAACAAAGUCAGGGCUACUGUGUCAAAGAUGGGAUGAGCAGAGCCCACAUGAACAGAAUUAUUUCACAUUUAGUCUUGCACAAGAGAACUACUGUAGAAACUUUGACAGGGAAGAGCCAUGGUGUUUCACUACUAAUUCUAGAGUUCGUUGGGAGCUUU